rnacentral:lncRNA from 1 species
AGUGUUUCCCACUGGUCUCUCCCACAGAUGACGCCUGCAGAGGUGCGCGAGGCUGGGUGUCCAUCUCACUCACCCAGCCUGAAAAUGUCUAUGUGAAGAAGCGUAAGCAAAACAGACACUUGUGCUAAUCACUGUUCAGAGCUUGGCUGCUGAGUGUUUUCUGGGAGCUGCAUUGUCAGUUGAGGGCUGCCCGCUGCGUGGGGUGGAUUCCCCAGCCCUCACAGGAUAAUUUUAUCACAGAGGACAACAUUUGUAGUUCUGCAUGAGUGGCUCUCCUGGCGAGAUAAAGAAGAGACAGUGAGCUGAGGCUGAGGCUGAGAAGGCUGGCAUAUGUGAUGUCUUCGGGGAUCGGAAGCUCUGUGGAUGACAGGAUUAGGCAUGUACAGGACCAUGGAACAGCAAGCUGAGCCACUAGGGCCCUCAGGGAGGAGAAACCCAGAAGCCUGACAUGCCAGCAAAAGGGUAAAGAAAGCUUUUAUGGUUCCCUGACUGAGGAUAAUCAACCCCUUCAUAAUUUAGAAUCCAAAGAUUGGAUCUUCUGAGAACAUCAGAGAAAGACUGCCCUUGCCAUCCACACUGCAACAAAACUUCAGAACCUUGAACCUUGGGUUCAUAAUCUCACAACAAAGAAGGGUCCCUCCAUGUUCUUGGAGCUGUACACCCAUUGGAACUCUUAAGACAUAUGGCCCUAAAGCACCUCAGAAGAAGCUGAAGGAAAUCAGCCUCCAUAGCUUUCAAGCCCCUGGACUCCUGGAGCCAGAAGUUAAUUCACACUCUGAUCUCAGAGAAGUUCAAGACCUUCAGCAGAACUUUUCCUGGCCAGGGCAUUUUUGCCCCUGAGAUAUGUCAUUAAACACUGUAACCAGGAACUUCUGUUCUUACCCCUGUCCUUCCCUUCACCUUUUAUAGUUACUAAAUGCAAUGUUUUAUUUUUCCAAGUACAAAACAAUAAAAUAGUUAUAAAGAAA